CAGUCGCCGCGGUAAUACGGAGGGUGCAAGCGUUAAUCGGAAUUACUGGGCGUAAAGCGUGCGCAGGCGGUUAUAUAAGACAGAUGUGAAAUCCCCGGGCUCAACCUGGGAACUGCAUUUGUGACUGUAUAGCUAGAGUACGGCAGAGGGGGAUGGAAUUCCGCGUGUAGCAGUGAAAUGCGUAGAUAUGCGGAGGAACACCGAUGGCGAAGGCAAUCCCCUGGGCCUGUACUGACGCUCAUGCACGAAAGCGUGGGGAGCAAACAGGAUUAGAUACCCGAGUAGUCCCUGUCUCUUAUAC
rnacentral:rRNA from 1 species